CUCGUAGGUGGUUGUUACGUCGGUUGUGAAAUUCAGGGGCUCAACCCUGACUUGCAGCCGAUACGGGCAAGCUAGAGUUUGGUAGGGGAGACUGGAAUUCCUGGUGUAGCGGUGGAAUGCGCAGAUAUCAGGAGGAACACCGAUGGCGAAGGCAGGUCUCUGGGCCAAUACUGACACUGAGGAGCGAAAGCGUGGGGAGCGAACAGGAUUAGAUACCCUGGUAGUCCACGCCGUAAACGGUGGGCGCUAGUUGUGCGAACCUUCCACGGUUUGUGCGACGCAGCUAACGCAUUAAGCGCCCCGCCUGGGGAGUACGAUCGCAAGAUUAAAACUCAAAGGAAUUGACGGGGCCCCGCACAAGCAGCGGAGCAUGCGGCUUAAUUCGACGCAACGCGAAGAACCUUACCAAGGCUUGACAUAUACAGGAAUAUGGCAGAAAUGUCAUAGCCGCAAGGUCUGUAUACAGGUGGUGCAUGGUUGUCGUCAGCUCGUGUCGUGAGAUGUUGGGUUAAGUCCCGCAACGAGCGCAACCCUCGUUCUGUGUUGCCAGCAUUUAGUUGGGGACUCACAGGAGACUGCCGGGGUUAACUCGGAGGAAGGUGGGGAUGACGUCAAAUCAUCAUGCCCCUUAUGUCUUGGGCUGCACGCAUGCUACAAUGGCUGGUACAAACGGCUGCGAUACCGCAAGGUGGAGCGAAUCCGAUAAAGCCAGUCUCAGUUCGGAUUGGGGUCUGCAACUCGACCCUAUGAAGUCGGAGUUGCUAGUAAUCGUAGAUCAGCAACGCUACGGUGAAUACGUUCCCGGGGCUUGUACACUCCGCCCGUCACAUCACGAAAGUCGGUAACACCCAAAGUCAGUGUCCCAACUGCAAGGAGGGAGCCGCCAAAG
rnacentral:rRNA from 1 species